rnacentral:rRNA from 1 species
GCGAAGUUGGUGGCGGGGGCGGCGGUAAGACGAGGGGGGCGAGCGUUGGUCGGAAGUACUGGGCGGAAAGCGCGCGCAGGCGGCUAUCCAAGUCAGUGGUGAAAGCCCGGAGCUUAACUCCGGAACUGCCAUUGAAACUGUUUAGCUGGAGUAUGAGGGAGGUGAGUGGAAUUCCCAGUGUAGAGGUGAAAUUCGUAGAUAUUGGGAAGAACACCGGUGGCGAAGGCGGCUCACUGGCUCAUUACUGACGCUCAUGCGCGACAGCGUGGGGAUCAAACAGGAUUAGAUACCCGAGUAGUC